GAUGGUGCAUCAUCUACCCUUAUUUUAAUCACUUGGUGAUGCCUAAUGACACCCACACAUAAUUCCUAAUUUUCCUGAAGAAAAAGAGGAGCAAAAGACUUAAGUUGGAGCCAUAAAGAGGAACAGGAAUGCAAGCAUCUUAAUUGAGGCAUCUCUCCUUGUCUCCCUAUUGGAGCCUUGGAAAAGCUUCCCUCACCUGUAGCCUGAAUUUUAGCCUCUCUCUCCAUCUGCAGUUAACAUAUAUACAAACCUGGCUUUGCAAGAAUCCUUUUUUGUGAGGCUUGCUGCCAAUUUGAGGGCUCAAAGUAGUGCUCCAUCCAACUAAAGGUUUUGGAGGUAAUCAGAUUCAGAGCAAAGGGAAGAACAGCUAAAUAGAACAGAAGAAAUGGCUAGGAGGAAGAGCAAUCCCCACAAAGGAAGAGGAGAUGAGGAGUACCCCAUGGUGGCAUAUGCUUGCUGCCCCUGCUAUGUGCUCAGCUCUGUCAUCAGAGGGAUUGGGAGGUGCCUCUUUGUGGCCUGCUACCCUGCCAUACAAUGCUGUGGCCUUGAUGAGUGCAGGCACCACCACACCACCACCCAGCUCAGCCACUUCAGAUGACCACAGCAAUAAUUCCAUCCAUUAAGUAUGGCAUCUCAAUCAUCACCAAUUCUUUCUUCUCUUCUUUCUCACACACUGGGGUUCAGUAAUCAUAUGGAGUUCUUGAUUAAAGAGAGCUGUCCAUAUUUGAUUUCAUACAUGAUGAAAGUCCUUUUGCUGGUUUUGCUGUAAUUUUUCCAGUAGAAAGAAAGGCGUGUUGCCCUAAACCAAUAGGAGUUAGAAGAGUAAAUGAGAAGAAUUACAUGUUCUAAUAAGCUAUUUUGUCUCUUACAAGUUAUUCAGAAAGUGGUUCUACGGUUGGUGGCUCGUAGCUACUUUUUUCUGAUAA